AAUCCGUCGACUUUAUAAAUCGUGAGGGUU
rnacentral:tRNA from 1 species